rnacentral:rRNA from 1 species
UAGCCGUAAACGAUACUCGCUAGGUGUCGGCCACGGUGCGACCGUUGUCGGUGCCGUAGGGAAGCCGUGAAGCGAGCCACCUGGGAAGUACGGCCGCAAGGCUGAAACUUAAAGGAAUUGGCGGGGGAGGCACAACAACGGGUGGAGCUUGCGGUUUAAUUUGGAUUCAACGCCGGAAAUACUUACCGGGACCGACAGCAACAUGAAGGCCAAGCUGAAGACUUUGCCGGAUUAGCUGAGAGGUGGUGCAUGGCGUAGUCGUGU